rnacentral:rRNA from 1 species
UGACGUUAGCGGCGGACGGGUGAGUAACACGUGGGCAACCUGCCUGUAAGACUGGGAUAACUUCGGGAAACCGAAGCUAAUACCGGAUAGGAUCUUCUCCUUCAUGGGAGAUGAUUGAAAGAUGGUUUCGGCUAUCACUUACAGAUGGGCCCGCGGUGCAUUAGCUAGUUGGUGAGGUAACGGCUCACCAAGGCAACGAUGCAUAGCCGACCUGAGAGGGUGAUCGGCCACACUGGGACUGAGACACGGCCCAGACUCCUACGGGAGGCAGCAGUAGGGAAUCUUCCGCAAUGGACGAAAGUCUGACGGAGCAACGCCGCGUGAGUGAUGAAGGCUUUCGGGUCGUAAAACUCUGUUGUUAGGGAAGAACAAGUACAAGAGUAACUGCUCGUACCUUGACGGUACCUAACCAGAAAGCCACGGCUAACUACGUGCCAGCAGCCGCGGUAAUACGUAGGUGGCAAGCGUUAUCCGGAAUUAUUGGGCGUAAAGCGCGCGCAGGCGGUUUCUUAAGUCUGAUGUGAAAGCCCACGGCUCAACCGUGGAGGGUCAUUGGAAACUGGGGAACUUGAGUGCAGAAGAGAAAAGCGGAAUUCCACGUGUAGCGGUGAAAUGCGUAGAGAUGUGGAGGAACACCAGUGGCGAAGGCGGCUUUUUGGUCUGUAACUGACGCUGAGGCGCGAAAGCGUGGGGAGCAAACAGGAUUAAAUACCCUGGUAGUCCACGCCGUAAACGAUGAGUGCUAAGUGUUAGAGGGUUUCCGCCCUUUAGUGCUGCAUCUAACGCAUUAAGCCCUCCGCCUGGGGGAGUACGGUCGCAAGACUGAAACUCAAAGGAAUUGACGGGGGCCCGCAC